UAAAUUUAAAUAAUAAAUAUAAGGGCCUAAAAUUUUAAAAGUAAUUGAAAUGAGACUUAAAAAUUUAUUCUGUAAGAUCAUAAAAAAAAAUCUAAUUAAUAAAUUGUUAUAUAGAUAUUUCUCAUUGAAAUCCAUUUCAAUUUAAUUAAUAAAAUUAACUCGUAUGUUUAAUUAUUAAAAACGAAACUUUAAGCCCAUUGAUAAUAAAAAUAGGUUCAUAAAUUAGACUUCAAUUUGAUAAUUUAAACAGAGCCCAAAAUAAUAAUAAUAAAAAAACCCAACAAUAUAUAUAAAAUCUAAGCCCACAAACUAUUUCCCUUUUUCCCUUUUACCUUUUUCCUCACUCUCUCUUGUUCAGCACCCAUCACGAAUACACGAUGUACACACACCGACACAAAUCACACAUAUACACCACUCACACACAUCACACAAAUCACACACGCACACACACUUACACAACACAGCACACACAAAUACACACAAUUCGCCGCACCCUCUCUGGUGUGCGAUAGUUUCAGAGUGGAGGUUUAUCGUCGAGAAGAAAUGGGUGUUGGAAUUUGAAGAAAGAAAUUGGGCCGAGAUUUUAAGAGAAAAAUAAGAAAUAAGAAAACUAAAUACUGCUGAGACUUUUAACUGGGCCGAGAUUUUAAUUGGGCUAAGAUUUUAAUUGGGCCAGACUUUUUAAUAUCGAAGAGUGUGCUGAGACUUUUAACUGGGCCGAGAUUUUAAUUGGGCUAAGAUUUUAAUUGGGCCGAGACUUUUUAAUAUCGAAGAGUGUUUGUGAAUAGUUUAAAGUUUUGUUUGAAUUGGCAUAUUUUCUGAAAAAUUCUAUGAUGUAUUUUCAAUAUAAAUUUCUGCAGAUUCGGUUUCAGAGAAAGAGAAAAGGUAAAGGGAAAUUCCAUAAAAUCAAAAAGAAAUUUUUGGUCUGCAAAGUCUUUCUCAAAUCUCCUCCUAAGACUUACUUCAAAUUUUCCCAUUGGAUGUGCUUUAUAUACCUGUAGUGUCUUUUCUGCUAGAAUUUUGGUUAUGAAUUUUCCCUUGGGGAGGAGAUCUAUUGGCAUCUAUGGACGCGAUCGAGGAAUCGUCGCAGCUCUUCGAUUCGAUGUGGCAGGCGGCGGCGCUACUUGCUUGGCGACGAGUAUGAUAGUAUUCUAUCCCAGGGAAUGAGUUAGGUUCUGUUUUGGGCGAUGAUUGAUGAGAGCCUUAACAUUUUGUCCUCUUUUGAUUGAUUGAGUAUUUCUCAUUUGAAAUCUAUGUUAUCUAAAAUGUCUUAAUAAAGAUAAUAGAAUUAAAAUGAAGAUAAAACCAUCUUAUAAUUGGAGGAUAUAAAAUGAAUGAUCAAGAUCUUGACAAAACCUUUUAACUAACGAUUAUUAUUAUCUAUUUAAAAAAAUUCCACCAAAA